rnacentral:lncRNA from 1 species
CCGCCCGCUCUCGCCGCGGCCACCACGCGCGUGUACGCGCCCCGGCUUGUGUUAGAUCGUGCCCUCGUGACCCGGUCCAGCAUGUUACCUAAAACCCUAGUCUAACGCACGCAUGGCGCGCCGCAGGGACACGUCCGUGCUCACGCGCCCACACGCACGCACGCACCCGCUGCGCCCCCGCUCGCGCACGCACGCUCGCGCCCAGCACAGGCUUAUGCCCAACAGUCAGCGUCGCCGUUGUAGACGCUCCCGUGGUUCCCUGUACGGUCGCCGUGACUACUGCCACCGCCAUGCUCUCCUCCUUGCGGUUGGACCGUUCGCGACUGUAGUCCUCCGCUCUUCGAAACAAGAGGCGAACUCGAAGCACGUUAUAGCUGGUGCCUCGGGGGACAGGACUGCUUGGCAGUGCAGAGUCUUGACGAGCUGGUUUGCUUGACUAGUGCUGUCCCGGGUAUAUAUACUUGGGAGCCAAAACGAGCUAGGUGUACAGGAAGCGGAUGAAGUGCAGGAGAGUCUGGUUCAUGCUACCCGCGCUAACACACACGUCUCCGUAGUUGUCGUUGUUACUGUUGUUGUUGUUUUUGUUGUUUACUCAGAUUUGAUGGAUGAGGUUAGUCCCCAUGGUGGGCUAUAAAAAAUGUUAGACAUAUAAAGAGUUACAUAAGGUUACACGCUGAUUAGGAUUAUUUCUUUCUAACUAACCACUCCUCUUGAUUUUCAAGGGGGUGGGGCCCUCAUCCCCUUAAUCUCCAAUUAAAAUUCACCUGUUUGUAAAACCCAUAUAAAGUUAUGUAUGUGUAGCAUUGCUAGGUGGGCUACGAGCGCGACGCAUCGUGCUGGGCCAAUGCCGCGGGAAGCAUUGAUCAAUUAUGGAGGGAUGCAGGGAUGCCGCUCUCCUUUUCAGCACGUCAGUGUGGUUAUCCUCUCUGCGAUGGGGUUCUUGGUGAAUACACUUGAGGCCUUGUCUGGUUUGAGCCUAAUCCACAUAUAUUACCUCGGGUAUUAUCCUGACCCACGUGUAUUAGACAGACGUGGAAUCAUUCCUCGGUGAUGCCCAAAGAGUCAUUUGGUUUAUCCCAUGCAUGGAAUUUUCACUAGUCAAUCCACAACGUUCCACUUGAAUUCACGGGGUAAAAAUAAAUCGUCCCCAAUGCGUGGAACAAAUCCACUACGAUGGAGAGAAGCAUUGACUGGAAUGAGGUGACAGAAGGGGGUCAACCCAAUCCACCCUUGGGUAAAUUAAUUUCACUAGGGGAUUGAUUACCUGGUAAUCAAACAUGGCCUGAGAGGUGUCAUGCACCGGGGUCAACGAGGGAGCCCAGCAAAAGGUCUGUAAGGGGCAUGCGGGACCCGACAAUAGGAGUGAGCCCGAAGAGGUGGAUCAACACCUGGCUACCGUCUUGACUACCAAGCCAGGCGCGUUAACGACCUACAUCACAUAUCUCUCUGGGUAAAACCAUAAAAUCGUAGGAUUAACCAUAUAUAUAAGUGAAGGCUAGAGGCCUCUCCUUCCCAUCUAUUCUCAGGUAGACCAACCCUCGGUAGCUAUCUCAUCUACACCAUCGUACUCCCUCGCAUGAGGUAUUCCUUCAUUAUAAAUAACAAGAAGAAACGUGGCGUAGGGUAUUACUCUCCGGAGGCCUGAACCAGGGUAACUUCUAUGUGCAUCUAUGUCCUGGUACUUCUCAUUACGUCAGGCACCCUACCGAGGGAUCUAACGAUUUACUACACCAUCACCUCUUCUGUCUCGGACUCAACAAUGGCGACGAUUACCGAUGUCUUCCCUCAUGAUGCUGUUGUCGUGGAGCUUAGUUGUCCUAAGGUGUGUCAUGUUAUUAUAUCCAAGCCUUCCUAUGUUAGUUCUCGGCUACAUAUGUGUGUUCUUUUGUGUUGCUCCUUUGUCCCGACAUCUGUUUUGUAAGGGGGACUCAUCAUUAUCCUGUAUAGUUUGAUAUUGCACUUUCUUUGGUCCUUUAUUUUGUAAGCUGUUCGAAAGCUUGUUUCGAGGCAUGGGAUGUGACAAUCCAGGAUGCAUGGCAGUUGAGGCUUCGAACUGCCACUUAUCUACCUUAAUGAUCUGUCCCAUUGUCGCUUGUUUUAUUAACUAACUGUAGUUUUGGAGUAAACUUUGUGUGUCGUUGGUUGUGUGAAUCGUCGCAUGCAAGUCUGGAGAUUCAAUUCUUGUACCAUUGUAUCAACUGGGUAGAAUCAUAAGAUUAACUUAUAUGUGCAUACUUUUAUUGGACUGUCCUCGUAUAUGUUCUUUCUAUAUCUUGUAUAUCUUUUAUAACAAAUCCUGCAAAAUCUCCUUCUCAUAGACCACCACAAGGUUUAUCUUCCGGCAGGAUCGGUAAGCACAUUUACAUGGUGACAAAGUUGAUGGCUCACGCUGGUAGCUCGCUAAAAACUUCAAUAUUGAACAUGAGCUCCCGUCGUUCUUGGACCUAGAGAUCCCAAAGUUUCUUCCUAUGUCUUGAAUAUUAUCCUUAGUAAGGCCAAAUAGCAUGAUGGUGUACUCCCGACGGAUGACAAUCUACCUUAUAUACCCCACCCUUUAGAAGUUAAAUGAAUGCCCAACUAGUUGGCUUUAGUUGCUCUAACAAUAAUAGUGUCUUUGCUUUUUGGAUGGUGAAGCUAUGUGCAAAAUUCAUAUAGGGAUCAAUAUGAAAAUUCUCUCAUUGAAUAUUAGUUGACAUAAGUGGUUGUUUCUUUAAUCCAUAAGGUUUCGUCCAUGAAACAUGGAAACCCCCUAUUUUUCACAAAACUGAACUAAUCUUUUUUUGUCGCUUUUUUGUCACAUUCGUUUCAUUCUCCAUUGCGUUAAAAAAUGUACAUUCAUGGAGCACAUGAAAUGUAAGGGGAGGGGAUGUGGAGGAGAUCUUUUGCAAGCAAUAAUGUCCUACAUUGACAAAAUCAAUGUGUCGAUCACCCGCAAAAUUAACCCAUGAAGGUAGCAUUUGUCAUUUUGCAAUGGGCUUGUUCUUCUCCUCAUAGCUAGCAUGGAUGCCACAUGGGUACAUCUACUUACUGACAAGUCAUGAAAGAGCAAGGCAGUCGUCAUAGCAACCAUUUGGGACCUCUUGUGAAUUGCUACCUCUGGUUGCGUUAAAAGGUGACCCGUUCACCCCUUUUCCUCUAAAGUCCCGAAUCUUCUCUCACACAAACGCACUUGUGCACACAACAUCAACAAACAACGUACUCUAUUGCAUGAUGGGCAUUGGAUCGAAAUAUCUACCGCUUCCUUGUCUCACAUAUGUAGGAGUCGGAGGCGCCGGGAAAUUAGUAAGAACUCCGCUAAUUCCCGAUGCUUGACAAAAGGAAACAACAAGUGCACCGAAGAGUCUUAGCUGCCCGGAUUACUGGACUAGUCGUGGUGUGAAUGCUCCGAAAUGACAGUGUGGUACGGGUAUAUAUGCCCCGGGUGGUGAGACGAUAAGCUAGUGCGAGAAGCCUAGGAAAGGCAAAGUGUGCUUCACACGCAUAAAAACACAUCUCCUUUGCUGUUGAUGUUGUUGCUUAACUGUCCUCCAUGUAGCGUCUAGAACGAAAGCGUGAGUUUAAGCUUUGGUGCAGACCCGAAGAUUGUAGGCCAAUAAAGCAUGCUCCAAUCGUUUAUGGGCGUAGAGAUCCCAAAGCGUGUCCCUGCAUCUGCAUCUGCAAAAUUAACCUUUGCGAGGCCUGAUAGCACGAGUUUAUUCUCAAGGGAUGCUAGUGUACGCACCUAAAAACGCAUGUGCUCCACUUUUUGAAAGUUAAACUAUACCCAACUAGUUUAUUUUAAUACAGUACAAUUAUAGAUUUUUUUACAUACACUUAUCCCUACGGACUAACACACGCACGUACGUCUUAUCCUAUGACCAAGCAAUUAUAACCUUGACCACUUAACAAUCAUCAUCGAAAAGUCUGAAAUAAAUCCAUAACAAUGCAAUCACAACUUGAACCCUGGUGGCCUGGUUACACCAAAGGGAACCUAACCAUCUAAGAGCAUCUACAAACGGAACCUUAUACUAGCUCUAUACGUCUAGACUGCCCGGUUAUUGACUGGUCAGGAAAUUGCAACGCAAUCCCCCCAACCCCACCCCCCCAAAUAGACCAUGUAUGUCUGUGCAAACCUACAUCCCUUAAAUCUAACCCAUAUCUGACACAUAUACGGGUGUCCUGGAUCUGUCCGGGCGCAUCCUUCGCGUCAGAUCUA